rnacentral:rRNA from 1 species
GACGAACGCUGGCGGCGUGCCUAAUACAUGCAAGUCGAACGCUGAAGAGAGGAGCUUGCUCUUCUUGGGUGAGUUGCGAACGGGUGAGUAACGCGUAGGUAACCUGCCUUGUAGCGGGGGAUAACUACUGGAAACGAUAGCUAAUACCGCAUAACAAUGGAAGACACAUGUCUCAUAUUUGAAAGGGGCUAUUGCUCCACUAUAUGAUGGACCUGCGUUGUAUUAGCCAGUAGGUGAGGUAACGGCUUACCCAAGCGAAGAUACAUAGCCGACCUGAGAGGGGUGUCGGCCACAAUGGGACUGGGACACGGGCCAAGCUUCCUCGGGAGGCAGGAGGUGGGAAACUUCGGGAAUGGGGGGAACGCUUAACGGAGCACGCCGGGUGAAGGGAGGAAGGUCUCGGAACGGAAAACUCUGGUGUUUAUGAAGGAAGAGUGUGGGAAUGAAAAGUUUACGUCGUGACGGUAGCUAAUCAGAAAGGGACGGCUAACUACGUG